rnacentral:lncRNA from 1 species
GGCCCUCCCAGCCCCAGGAGUGCGGGCGCCCGCAGGAGGCCCGUCGUCGCUGCUUGGGACCCCGGCCCAGCUAUCCCAGCCGCUUGGGACGUGCGGCGGCGCGGAGUGAGGUUCCUGAAGGCUUCAAAGGAAACCUGACAGGGGAGGCUCCAUGUCCCUGGGUGAAGAUGAGGCUGAGACAAAAGUGUCUGUCAACACAGAGGUCCCAUCCUGUGGCAGGUGGGACUCUGGGAAUCUGCUGUCCCCAGGGCAAGAACCAGAGCAUCUGGAAGUCCAGGGAGGGCCACAGUGGAGGGCCGAGGCUGACCCUGGCUGCAUCUCUGGAGUUUUCUUGUCACAGACCUACACUGCCAGCAAAGAACCAGUAGCAGGCAGGUCUGAGCCUCCCCUCAGUGGCCCACUUCCUUCUGCCAGUGUGGGAACUGGAGAGCUUUUACACCCUAUGGGAAGCCAAAUGGAGGAAAACAAGCCUCCUGCCUCCCGGGACCUACUUCCAGCUAUUAAAGUCCUUGGAACUAUAACCGUUUGCUCAGGACGUGAGGCUGACAGUGAAGACUUCCAGCCUGCAGUUGCUCCAUCUCAGGUGUUGGGCCUUGGCCAGCAGCCACACAUCUCAGGUCUCCCUCUCCUGUCCCAGUGGAAGCCCACGGUGAGCCCAGGCGCUCCUCAGCUCUCUAGCAGAAGCAUCUCUGUCUCCUCAGUGGGCAGCAGUCUCCAGGACCACCUAGACAAGGCAGAACCUCAGAGUGGCUCCUUUGCCCACAUCUCCUCUCAGGAGUUGACUGUACCCCAGGCAGCCCACUCUGUGGUGGGGGCAGGGUCUCCAUUCCAGUGGUCAACACAGCCUGUGGCCUCUGGCGGUGAUGCUACAGGCC